rnacentral:rRNA from 1 species
ACCGGAUGCCUACAAACAGUCGGAGCCCGCAAGGGUGACGGCGUACCUUUUGUAUAAUGGGUCAACGACUUAGUGUGACGAGCAAGCUUAAGCCGAUAGGUGAAGGCGCAGCGAAAGCGAGUCUGAAUAGGGCGUUCAGUUCGUCGCAUUAGACCCGAAACCGAGUGAUCUAGCCAUGAGCAGGUUGAAGGUUGGGUAACACCAACUGGAGGACCGAACCCGCAUCUGUUGCAAUAGAUUGGGAUGACUUGUGGC